UGAUAGUCCUGCAGAGUAUCAAAAGUUUCUUUUAGGUGUUGUAGUAUGAAAACAGAGUGGCCUAAGAGGGCUUUUGUAAGAGACUUGGUCUGGUCCGGUUCCGUCCGGUCCUGAUUCCUGGUCAAGAGGUCGAACGGGGGUUAGGUCCACAGGCUGAGGGAGAAGGGAGCGCUGGUCCGAGAGGUGGAGCACCGUCUGGUCUGCACGUGGGAGCAGAACAGAGAGGCGUGUGUGCCGAAGGUUUGAGGUAUUAAGUGAAAGUCUUGGAUCUUUGUUGAAGUUUGGGAGAAGUUCUCAGUGCAGUCCUACCCUGAAUUCACUGCCUGUUGCGCCCUAUGGGAGAAACUCCCACCUCUUGCACAUUGGUCUUUGUUCUGCUUUCUUCUUAGUCUAUUGGUUAGGCUCCAAACUCCAUGUUGUUGCAUAUUUUCCUUUCGUUUCUGUUGUGUUUGGAUUGAGAUUGGGAUUUCUUUAUAUACUUUGAUUGUAAAGGAUCUCAUAUAUUGUAUAGGUCACUUGAAAGGGGCUUUGGUCCUUGUCCGCCUCUUGCCAUGUGUAUUUUUUUUAAUCUUAUUAAUAAAAUUUGCAGGUAAUGUGCUC